AUUUAAAUAGCUUAUAUAGAGCAUAAUAUUGAAGAUAUUAAGGUAAUAUUUAUUAUUUUUAAAUA
rnacentral:tRNA from 1 species